rnacentral:rRNA from 1 species
UACGUAGGGUGCGAGCGUUGUCCGGAAUUAUUGGGCGUAAAGGGCUCGUAGGCGGUUUGUCGCGUCGGGAGUGAAAUCCACUGGCUUAACUGGUGGCUUGCUUUCGAUACGGGCAGACUGGAGGUAUGCAGGGGAGAACGGAAUUCCGGGUGUAGCGGUGGAAUGCGUAGAGAUCCGGAAGAACACCGGUGGCGAAGGCGGCCCGCUGGGCAGAGACUGACGCUGAGGCGCGACAGCGUGGGGAGCAAACAGG